UCCUCUGGAUUAGUGGCGAACGGGUGAGUAACACGUGAGCAAUCUGCCCUUGACUCUGGGAUAAGCGCUGGAAACGGCGUCUAAUACCGGAUACGACCCUCGGAGGCAUCUCCUGUGGGUGGAAAGAACUUCGGUCAAGGAUGAGCUCGCGGCCUAUCAGCUUGUUGGUGAGGUAAUGGCUCACCAAGGCGACGACGGGUAGCCGGCCUGAGAGGGUGACCGGCCACACUGGGACUGAGACACGGCCCAGACUCCUACGGGAGGCAGCAGUGGGGAAUAUUGCACAAUGGGCGCAAGCCUGAUGCAGCAACGCCGCGUGAGGGACGACGGCCUUCGGGUUGUAAACCUCUUUUAGCAGGGAAGAAGCGAGAGUGACGGUACCUGCAGAAAAAGCACCGGCUAACUACGUGCCAGCAGCCGCGGUAAUACGUAGGGUGCAAGCGUUGUCCGGAAUUAUUGGGCGUAAAGAGCUCGUAGGCGGUCUGUCGCGUCUGCUGUGAAAACCCGAGGCUCAACCUCGGGCUUGCAGUGGGUACGGGCAGACUAGAGUGCGGUAGGGGAGAUUGGAAUUCCUGGUGUAGCGGUGGAAUGCGCAGAUAUCAGGAGGAACACCGAUGGCGAAGGCAGAUCUCUGGGCCGUAACUGACGCUGAGGAGCGAAAGCGUGGGGAGCAAACAG
rnacentral:rRNA from 1 species